AUUGAACGCUGGCGGCAGGCCUAACACAUGCAAGUCGAGCGGAUGAGUGGAGCUUGCUCCAUGAUUCAGCGGCGGACGGGUGAGUAAUGCCUAGGAAUCUGCCUGGUAGUGGGGGACAACGUUUCGAAAGGAACGCUAAUACCGCAUACGUCCUACGAGAGAAAGCAGGGGACCUUCGGGCCUUGCGCUAUCAGAUGAGCCUAGGUCGGAUUAGCUAGUAGGUGAGGUAAAGGCUCACCUAGGCGACGAUCUGUAACUGGUCUGAGAGGAUGAUCAGUCACACUGGAACUGAGACACGGUCCAGACUCCUACGGGAGGCAGCAGUGGGGAAUAUUGGACAAUGGGCGAAAGCCUGAUCCAGCCAUGCCGCGUGUGUGAAGAAGGUCUUCGGAUUGUAAAGCACUUUAAGUUGGGAGGAAGGGCAGUAAGUUAAUACCUUGCUGUUUUGACGUUACCAACAGAAUAAGCACCGGCUAACUUCGUGCCAGCAGCCGCCGUAAGAC
rnacentral:rRNA from 1 species